GGUGAGAUGGCAGACCCGCCAGUCGUCGACGAUCUGCGCGCCGAUCGACUUGUAGAAGGCGAUCGUCGGCUCGUUCCACUCCAGCACGCACCAC
rnacentral:tRNA from 1 species